rnacentral:rRNA from 1 species
GAGUCGAGUUGUUUGGGAAUGCAGCUCUAAAUGGGAGGUAAAUUUCUUCUAAAGCUAAAUACCGGCCAGAGACCGAUAGCGCACAAGUAGAGUGAUCGAAAGAUGAAAAGCACUUUGGAAAGAGAGUUAAAAAGUACGUGAAAUUGUUGAAAGGGAAGCGCUUGCAACCAGACCUGCCCGCGGUCGCUCAUCCAGGCUCCUGCCUGGUGCAUUCCUCCGCGGUCAGGCCAGCAUCGGUUCGGGCGGUCGGACAAAGGCGGCGGGAACGUGGCUCCCUCCGGGGAGUGUUAUAGCCCGCCGCGCAAUGCGGCCAGCCCGGAUCGAGGUCCGCGCUUCGGCCAGGAUGCUGGCGUAAUGGUUGCAAGCGGCCCGUCUUGAAACACGGACCAAGGAGUCUAACAUCUGUGCGAGUGUUUGGGUGUCAAGCCCGGACGCGUAAUGAAAGUGAACAGAGGCGGGAACCCUUGGGUGCACCGUCGACCGAUCCUGAUGUCUUCGGAUGGAUUUGAGUAAGAGCAUAGCUGUUGGGACCCGAAAGGUAAGCUAAUCUCCCAUCCUCCCCUCCGCAUCCGAUGCCAGUGCUAACUCUUGAUUCCAGAUGGUGAACUAUGCCUGAAUAGGGUGAAGCCAGAGGAAACUCUGGUGGAGGCUCGCAGCGGUUCUGACGUGCAAAUCGAUCGUCAAAUUUGGGCAUAGGGGCGAAAGUAAGUCGAACAU